CAGUCCGCGUCCGAUCCUGUCCUCCUCCGAUCCGAUCUCGCCCGCCCGACGCGCUCCCCACACGCCGCAGCCGCCGCCGCAGUCCGCUUCCGAUCCCUGUCCUCCUCCGAUCCAAUCUCGCCCGCACGCCGCGCCCCCCGCACGGCGCCGCCGCCGCCGCCGCAGUCCGCGCCCGCCCUCGCAAUCGCCAACCCCCGCGCCCCGCCCUUCCCCUCGCCGCCUCGCGCCGCCGCAGCGCUCGCCCUCACAUCCGCUCGCCAAUCGCUUCCUCGGCUCCUCGCUCUCGCCCAGCGGACGCCGCUCGCCGCGUCCGACUCCGGCCUCUCCGACGAGUGCGGAUCACCGGCUUUCCGGUGCUGCACCGUCGACACAUUGUGCCCUCGCGCCGCCAGGCGGAACGACAGGCGCGGUGGCUUCUCCUCCCUGCGGCAGCAACACUGGUCGCGUUCCGCCAACAACGACAACAGCCGCAUCCAUUCCCCCGGUUGCAGCAUUUGGAUUUCUCCGCAAGCAAGUUCGGCUCCGUGCAGGCCUUGAGAUAUCCCUUUUCCUGCCCCUGCAAUAGGAGCAUGAUGAUCAUUCUUCAUAUGGAUAGAGGACCUAUAUACACUAAAAUUGGGUCAGAUUGUUCUAUUUCCUUGAACAAAAUGAACAGAUGUCGUGAUUGGAAAAAUCAGUGCUAGGAACUGAAUGGCAGCUAAUUUGGCCAACUGAUGGUUGUGCCAUGGUGGUCCCAUUUGCAGCAAACCGUCGUGUGUUUUGUCCUGCCCAAAAAGUUGUGGGGACAUUUCCAUCUUCAUGUUGCUGAGAGAGACAUACUUCGUAACACCAUCAAGAUAGAUACUUGGCAAGAAGCUUUUGGUGGUGCACAUGCAAGAUAUUGACAAUACUUUGCAUCAUACCUGGAGCUCUUGCAUCAUGGAUUCAUGGUGAACAGCGUGAGAUUGGGGAAUACUUUUUAAUGAUCUUAAUGACUAUGAUCAGAAAGCUCUCCUGUUUGCUGCAGGUCUGAUUGUCGCCUUCUCAGUUCUCACACAGCUGCAGCUUCCCUGUUACGAUGCAGUGGCAGCUCGGUAGCAGCACAGAGCUUGCAUGGCGUUUAUAAAAACUGAGCUUUGCUUCCACAACAUUUAAUAGUGGAUGCAAUCUGGAUAAGUGAUUCACUCUUCCCAAAUUCCCAUGUAUUCAUUCCCUUUGGCCAGGAGACUCAUGCAUGAAGUUGCAAUGAUAUGAAUAAAAUAUUUUUAGGUGUGAAAUGCAGCCUUCUAUAUUUUAGUUUGGUAGUGAUUUUCAAGUGAUUUUCUAGCUCUCCGAAACGUUUCCGCUAACUAAAAAAUUAGCGUAGCAUAAAUGCCAUGCAUUCUUUUCUGUAAGCUGAAAGUUCAGUAUUUCUAUUUCUUUAGGUGCUAUUUGUACUCCUCCAUGGUGUAUCUGAGCAGCUAUUUUUCAAUUUAGGUCACAUUGUUCCUGGUCCAAUUGAUUGUUGUAAGGCUAGACAAUAAGGCUUUCGUUAUCUAAGAGAGCAGUUCGUAGCUUCAGAAUUCAGCGUGCUUUUUGCUUCCAGUAUGGCUUUUUGCACAGUACGACUUCCAGUCAUGUGCUAUUUUGUCUUGCCAGGGGUUAUAUAUCUUAUAAACGCUAUUGAGAUGGAGUUGCUUAAGCUGCCCCAUGUAGACUAUGUGCACUCUCGAAGGAUGUAUACUGUAUUACUGUUUAUUAUACAUUUGGUUGUUAUGAUUUAUGGAUACACGAGAUUUGAUUAAAUAUUUACAGAUUGAGAUAAAA